rfam:Triticum aestivum genome assembly, contig: Triticum_aestivum_CS42_TGACv1_scaffold_049814_1BS
AAUGUACUCCCUCCGUCCACAAAUACUUGUCGGAGAAAUUGAUGUAUCUAGAUGUAUUUUAUUUCUAAAUACAUACACUUUUAUCCAUUUCUCCGACAAGUAUUUUCGGAUGGAGGGAGUAUAUG